ACAGGAACCAAGGUUGGAGAUGUUCAUAUUCCUGGACUCAGUCACUGCCCGGAUCACUGCCCUCAUGGAAUAGCUGGAAAUCCCCCAUGUGUAUGUGUUAACGCAGUCCCAGGUCUGAAAGGCCCCUCAGUGGAAGACGAUUAAUCCGCAGAACAUUCCAAUUCAUUGUCAGUUAAACAGCCAUAACUUUGGACGGAUCCUCCACGGAGCUUCGUACACACGGUGACCUCACGCCCUGCACCCAGGGACUCGCACGACAUUAAAUAAAAUCUGACAUAUUUCAGCAUAAA